rnacentral:rRNA from 1 species
UACGAAGGGGGCUAGCGUUGCUCGGAAUCACUGGGCGUAAAGCGCACGUAGGCGGAUCGUUAAGUCGGAGGUGAAAUCCUGGAGCUCAACUCCAGAACUGCCUUCGAUACUGGCGAUCUUGGAGUCCGGGAGAGGUGAGUGGAACUCCGAGUGUAGAGGUGAAAUUCGUAGAGUAUUCGGAAGAACACCAGUGGCGAAGGCGGCUCAC